CCUACGGGUGGCAGCAGUGGGGAAUAUUGCACAAUGGGGGGAACCCUGAUGCAGCGACGCCGCGUGGGUGAGGAAGUACUUCGGUAUGUAAAGCCCUAUCAGCAGGGAAGAAAAUGACGGUACCUGACUACGAAGCCCCGGCUAACUACGUGCCAGCAGCCGCGGUAAUACGUAGGGGGCAGGCGUUAUCCGGAUGUACUGGGGGUAAAGGGAGCGUAGACGGCGUUGCAAGUCUGGAGUGAAAGGCUGGGGCUCAACCCCCGGACUGCUGUGGAAACUGGCAGGCUGGAGUGUCGGAGGGGUAAGCGGAAUUCCUAGUGUAGCGGUGAAAUGCGUAGAUAUUAGGAGGAACACCGGUGGCGAAGGCGGCUUACUGGACGGUAACUGACGUUGAGGCUCGAAAGCGUGGGGAGCAAACAGGAUUAGAUACCCGAGUAGUC
rnacentral:rRNA from 1 species